rnacentral:rRNA from 1 species
CCUACGGGAGGCAGCAGUGAGGAAUAUUGGUCAAUGGACGAGAGUCUGAACCAGCCAAGUAGCGUGAAGGAUGACUGCCCUAUGGGUUGUAAACUUCUUUUAUAUGGGAAUAAAACGUUCCACGUGUGGGAUUUUGUAUGUACCAUAUGAAUAAGGAUCGGCUAACUCCGUGCCAGCAGCCGCGGUAAUACGGAGGAUCCGAGCGUUAUCCGGCUUUAUUGGGUUUAAAGGGAGCGUAGGUGGAUUGUUAAGUCAGUUGUGAAAGUUUGCGGCUCAACCGUACAAUUGCAGUUGAAACUGGCAGUCUUGAGUACAGUAGAGGUGGGCGGAAUUCGUGGUGUAGCGGUGAAAUGCUUAGAUAUCACGAAGAACUCCGAUUGCGAAGGCAGUUCACUGGACUGCAACUGACACUGAGGCUCGAAAGUGUGGGUAUCAAACAGGAUUAGAUACCCUUGUAGUC